AGCUGAUUAAAUUUUUUUUUAUUUAAUCGGCCGACAGCAGUGGGUUCGAGGACACAAAUCACUGUGUUUGGUACACUUGCUUUGCACCGAAUUACACCAAAAACCUAAUCAAAAUCUAGGCCUCUUAAAAAAAGAAUUAAUUAAAAAAAAGGAUGUUUCUCAGAUGUCUGUCCAUCACCUUGGUCACAGUGGCAUUUCUGACCCGUAUGCAAGCAACGGGAAUGGAUUCACAAGAAACCGAUGGGCGUGUUUCCGUGUGUCCAGCAGAUGGAGUGUAUCCAAAUUACUACAAUUGCUCAAAUUUCAUUACCUGUUCGAACGGUAUUCAAUAUGUGAUGGCUUGCCCGGAAGGACUCAUAUGGAACGUAGAUACGAACGCUUGUGACUGGCCUUACAAUACAGAAUGUACGUGUUGCCUAUCCACGGAAUAUCAAUUUAGGCAAGUUGCAUAGUAACAAAAAUAAAAAUAGACCUAGUAAAGUAACCAUUGAUUUCUUUUUCAUUAUGUGUAGACGGAUAGAGAUAUAGACUACUGGGUUGUCGUCGAGCGCCUUUAUAUAUUAAUCAGCAUUUAUUAUUACCGGGAUCUAAAUUUAGUUUCUGGAUUAAGAAAAGUAAAAAGAUACAAAAUUUUCCUCCUGUAGUCUAU